AAAUUGAAGAGUUUGAUCAUGGCUCAGAUUGAACGCUGGCGGCAGGCCUAAACACAUGCAAGUCGAACGGUAACAGGAAACAGCUUGCUGUUUCGCUGACGAGUGGCGGACGGGUGAGUAAUGUCUGGGAAACUGCCUGAUGGAGGGGGAUAACUACUGGAAACGGUAGCUAAUACCGCAUAACGUCGCAAGACCAAAGAGGGGGACCUUCGGGCCUCUUGCCAUCGGAUGUGCCCAGAUGGGAUUAGCUUGUUGGUGGGGUAACGGCUCACCAAGGCGACGAUCCCUAGCUGGUCUGAGAGGAUGACCAGCCACACUGGAACUGAGACACGGUCCAGACUCCUACGGGAGGCAGCAGUGGGGAAUAUUGCACAAUGGGCGCAAGCCUGAUGCAGCCAUGCCGCGUGUAUGAAGAAGGCCUUCGGGUUGUAAAGUACUUUCAGCGGGGAGGAAGGGAGUAAAGUUAAUACCUUUGCUCAUUGACGUUACCCGCAGAAGAAGCACCGGCUAACUCCGUGCCAGCAGCCGCGGUAAUACGGAGGGUGCAAGCGUUAAUCGGAAUUACUGGGCGUAAAGCGCACGCAGGCGGUUUGUUAAGUCAGAUGUGAAAUCCCCGGGCUCAACCUGGGAACUGCAUCUGAUACUGGCAAGCUUGAGUCUCGUAGAGGGGGGUAGAAUUCCAGGUGUAGCGGUGAAAUGCGUAGAGAUCUGGAGGAAUACCGGUGGCGAAGGCGGCCCCCUGGACGAAGACUGACGCUCAGGUGCGAAAGCGUGGGGAGCAAACAGGAUUAGAUACCCUGGUAGUCCACGCCGUAAACGAUGUCGACUUGGAGGUUGUGCCCUUGAGGCGUGGCUUCCGGAGCUAACGCGUUAAGUCGACCGCCUGGGGAGUACGGCCGCAAGGUUAAAACUCAAAUGAAUUGACGGGGGCCCGCACAAGCGGUGGAGCAUGUGGUUUAAUUCGAUGCAACGCGAAGAACCUUACCUGGUCUUGACAUCCACGGAAGUUUUCAGAGAUGAGAAUGUGCCUUCGGGAACCGUGAGACAGGUGCUGCAUGGCUGUCGUCAGCUCGUGUUGUGAAAUGUUGGGUUAAGUCCCGCAACGAGCGCAACCCUUAUCCUUUGUUGCCAGCGGUCCGGCCGGGAACUCAAAGGAGACUGCCAGUGAUAAACUGGAGGAAGGUGGGGAUGACGUCAAGUCAUCAUGGCCCUUACGACCAGGGCUACACACGUGCUACAAUGGCGCAUACAAAGAGAAGCGACCUCGCGAGAGCAAGCGGACCUCAUAAAGUGCGUCGUAGUCCGGAUUGGAGUCUGCAACUCGACUCCAUGAAGUCGGAAUCGCUAGUAAUCGUGGAUCAGAAUGCCACGGUGAAUACGUUCCCGGGCCUUGUACACACCGCCCGUCACACCAUGGGAGUGGGUUGCAAAAGAAGUAGGUAGCUUAACCUUCGGGAGGGCGCUUACCACUUUGUGAUUCAUGACUGGGGUGAAGUCGUAACAAGGUAACCGUAGGGGAACCUGCGGUUGGAUCACCUCCUUA
rnacentral:rRNA from 1 species